rnacentral:rRNA from 1 species
AUCAUUAGUGAAUUGCUCUUUGAGCGUUAAACUAUAUCCAUCUACACCUGUGAACUGUUGAUUGACUUCGGUCAAUUACUUUUACAAACAUUGUGUAAUGAACGUCAUGUUAUUAUAACAAAAAUAACUUUCAACAACGGAUCUCUUGGCUCUCGCAUCGAUGAAGAACGCAGCGAAAUGCGAUAAGUAAUGUGAAUUGCAGAAUUCAGUGAAUCAUCGAAUCUUUGAACGCAACUUGCGCUCUCUGGUAUUCCGGAGAGCAUGCCUGUUUGAGUAUCAUGAAAUCUCAACCAUUAGGGUUUCUUAAUGGCUUGGAUUUGGGCGCUGCCACUUGCCUGGCUCGCCUUAAAAGAGUUAGCGUAUUAACUUGUCGAUCUGGCGUAAUAAGUUUCGCUGGUGUAGACUUGAGAAGUGCGCUUCUAAUCGUCUUCGGACAAUUCUUGAACUCUGGUCUCAAAUCAGGUAGGACUACCCGCUGAACUUAAGCA